CCCCUAGAUGUUCUGGGCCGCACGCGCGCUACACUGAACAGUUCAACAAGUCUUAACCUUGGCCGAUAGGUCUGGGUAAUCUUUCAACGCUGUUCGUGAUUGGGAUAGACCUUUGCAAUUAUGGGUCUUCAACGAGGAAUUCCUAGUAAACGCAAGUCAUCAGCUUGCAUUGAUUACGUCCCUGCCCUUUGUACACACCGCCCGUCGCACCUACCGAUUGAAUGGUCCGGUGAAAUCUCGGGACGGCGGCUUGGUCGCUUGCGUCCGACUGCUGAAACUUGAUUAAACCAUAUCAUUUAGAGGAAGGUGAAGUCGUAACA
rnacentral:rRNA from 1 species